GUCUAGUGGCGCACGGGUGCGUAACGCGUGGGAAUCUGCCCUUGGGUUCGGAAUAACAGUUGGAAACGACUGCUAAUACCGGAUGAUGACGUAAGUCCAAAGAUUUAUCGCCCAAGGAUGAGCCCGCGUAGGAUUAGCUAGUUGGUGAGGUAAAGGCUCACCAAGGCGACGAUCCUUAGCUGGUCUGAGAGGAUGAUCAGCCACACUGGGACUGAGACACGGCCCAGACUCCUACGGGAGGCAGCAGUGGGGAAUAUUGGACAAUGGGCGAAAGCCUGAUCCAGCAAUGCCGCGUGAGUGAUGAAGGCCUUAGGGUUGUAAAGCUCUUUUACCCGGGAUGAUAAUGACAGUACCGGGAGAAUAAGCUCCGGCUAACUCCGUGCCAGCAGC
rnacentral:rRNA from 1 species